rnacentral:rRNA from 1 species
UACGGAGGUGGCAAGCGUUGCUCGGAAUCACUGGGCGUAAAGGGCGCGUAGGCGGGGAGGUAAGUCGGGUGUGAAAUCCCUCGGCCCAACUGAGGAACUGCGCCCGAGACUGCUUCUCUUGAGUCCCGGAGAGGAAGGUGGAAUUCCCGGUGUAGCGGUGAAAUGCGCAGAUAUCAGGAAGAACACCCGUGGGAACGCGAAGCGCUG